GUGACAAAGAGACAGGACAGUGUAGUAUCAUUCCUAAAAAACACACGAAGUUACGGUUCUAAUUCAAACCCUAAUUCCGAUUGAACCUUAAGUAAUCGUUUCUACAAUAGAAUCCGGAACAGCUAGGGUUUUGAAAUCAAACACAAAGCUUAUAAAAAGGAUUAAACUUUAGGUCUAGAAACAAAAACCCUUGAAGAAUACGAAAGAACUAUCUUAGUCUAAAGAGGAAAUUUG